AUGAUGGCACAUGAGGUCUACUCCCGCCUUCUCCUCACUAAGCAGCGUGUCGAGGCGUGCCGCUCCAAGGCAGUCACGGCUCCCUCUCCGCGAAUGCCGCCACUAAGGGGGGCUGCAACUCGUCCACGGGGCCUCAACUCGUCCAAGGGGCCGCCCCCUGCUUCAUCAUCUUUGGCUCCCCCCGCGUCCGCAACUCUACCAGGGGCCGGUGGUCGACGCGUGUGCCAGCUGUGUGGCAUUGAGGGGCACUGGUCCUCCAAGUGCCACAAACGCUUUCAGCGGAGUUUUCUUGGUCUUGGCAAUGACGGCAAGGACACACGCAACUUUUCUCGUCAGGUUGCCAUGGCUGAUCGUCCGGCGCCGCCGAAGCAACAGGGGCACACUCAGUCCUACUCCAUCGAUCCUCACUGGUACAUGGACUCUGGGGCGACGGAGCACCUGACAAGCAAGAUGGGGAAGCUUCACACUCGUGAAUCCUAUCAUGGCUCCGACAAGAUCCACACCGCCAAUGGAGCAGGAUCGGGGCACGAGGGACAUUCUUCUUAG
rnacentral:rRNA from 1 species